UGUCUGGAAAAUCUUACUCCAAAUGGCAGGAC
rnacentral:piRNA from 1 species